UAAAAAAUAUGUCUGUACGGAUUGAUGCUGGUUAAAAAAAAAACCCAGUAAUUAGCUUAUUUUCUUUAUCACUAUUUAUGUUUCCAUCAUCCUGUUUUUAUGCGAUUUUGUAAGUAUCGCAUCAGAAACAAGUGAUGGAAACGGCAAAUUUUGAUUAAGAAUCCCUCAGUUCGCAAAAAGUUUUUACGCUCACUUGAGGUGGAUUUUGACUUAUGCAAAAAAGGGUUCAUCCGAAUAAAAAGGAGAUGGAAACACGUUUGCCGAGUAAAUUCCUCCAUGCACAUCAAAAAAGUCAUGUGCCUGUGCUAUGGGACAGCAAAACCUAACCAGUGGACCAAUCUUGUUCCUCAGCAUGUGAAAUGUUAUAGUCAUUUGGAAAUGUCCGAGCAAAGUCUGUCAUCAACGUAUUUCUGUAUAAUUGCCUCCCAGAACUGUUACAUGACUGUGUUCCCAAACGGCAGCAUCCACCUCCGAAAGCAAUGACCGCAUUAUUUUGUUUUGUCUGCUUGCUCUGAGGCGCAAGUAAUUUAUUAUAUAGACCUAUGAAAAUUAUUAUAUUCAGGGGUUUCUCCUACUUUUCAUAGUGAUAAAUAGCCUAGCACCAGUUCUACCAGGAAGUGAAGAUUUUGUCGUCUUUGACUCGUUGGAUGGAAACGGUGCUUAUUCACAAAUGUUUUUUGCGAUAUUUCAAUUUUGCGCAUAAGUUAAAUUCGCAACUUUGGAUGUAAACCCGUCUACUGUCAGUGUGGGAGUUCUAACAUCUGUCGGUUUCAUGUUUAUGACACUUGUGCUUGUGGCAUGAAACAGGUCAUGUUAAUUAAUGUAUGUUUGUAAUGAGUUUGAACCUACAGCCAUUGGUUAACAGGCCAGAUAAGUUACCUUUAAACUAUCUCACUCCACUUUUUCUGGAUUUACUUUAGAUGGUCACACGAUGGUUUAGUGGCUCACAGGCUGAGAAACCAGUAAGAGAUGAUUAGUGUUGCCAAUUUAGCAUUUUUGUUAUUAGAUUUAGCGACUCACCUGUCCGUAUUGUGUCUUUAAAAAACGCCUAGCAACAAAUACAGGAACUUCUUGGGCAAACCUUAUCUAGUUUCUGAGACACACCAGCGUGACAUCAUAGAGACACUUAGUGACCAGUUUUAUCUACUUUCCACUGAAAGCAUUUGGCAACAGUAAUGACUAUGAUAUGUAUCCUAAUCAGGAAAAGGCUGCAGUGAGUCGAGUUGAAGGACAACUGAAGCAGGAGAUCAAUGAUCUGAGGAACGAAAGACACUGAGCUGGACUAGCUUUCACUCACACACCUCUUUCCUGCAGGAAACAGAUCAAGAAGAACAGGGGACUUGAUCAUAUUUGGCAACAUGGAUCCCAGGACCAGAAACGACUUCCUACAGUAUUCCAAUCCGCUCACCCUGGACCUGAACACAGUGAAUAAACACCUCCGUCUGUGUGAGAGGAACAGAGUGAUUACUGGUACUCUCACAGAGCAACCGUAUCCUGAUCAUUCAGACAGAUUUGAUGGAUAUAAUCUUCAGGUGUUGUGUCGAGAGAGUGUGUGUGGACGCUGUUACUGGGAGAUUGAGUGGAGUGGGAUGUUUGGUGUGGAGAUAUCAGUGUCAUAUAAGAGCAUCAGCAGGAAAGUAAAGGGUGAUGAGUGUGUGUUUGGACGUAAUGAUCAGUCCUGGAGUUUGAUCUGCUCUCCCUCUAGAUGCUCAUUUGUUCAUAAUAACAAACAGGCUGAACUGCCUGUAGUGUCCAGUCAUAGAAUAGGAGUGUAUGUGGAUCACAGUGCAGGAACUCUGUCCUUCUACAGCGUCUCUGACACAACGAGUCUCAUCCACACAGUCCAGACCACAUUCACUCAGCCACUCUAUCCUGGGUUUUAUGCAUUUAUUGGAUCAUCAGUGAAAUUGUGUUGAUGAAUCAGAAAUGUCUAAAAUCUAUUCUAUGUAAUUUCUAUGUCUGCAUUAAUAUGUAUGUCUGUGCUCUCUUUUGCACUGGAAGUGCCCCAAAUUCCUGUGUUGGUGACAGGAAUGGCAAUGAAGCUCUUUUUGAUUCUGAAACUUUUAGCGGCAUGAUAAAAUAAGACCAUAACAAUUCAUUAACACUUAUUUAAGUAUUGUAUAUUGAAGAUCUAUUUGUUUGUUUGUUUUUGUUAAAGCUGAUGCUUAGAAAUGUUUAUAUACUAUUUAAGAUCAUAUGUGAC